GCCAGAGUGGUGAAAUUGGUAGACACAGGGGAUUCAAAAUCCCCCGCUAGAAAUAGUGUGCCGGUUCGAGUCCGGCCUCUGGUACCA
rnacentral:tRNA from 1 species